CAAGUCACGGGGGCUCGCAAGAGCAACCGGCGAACGGGUGCGUAACACGUGAGCAACCUACCGAUUUGUGGGGGAUAGCUGGCCUAACGGCCAGGUAAUACCGCAUACGCUCUUGGCGUCUCCUGACGCUUUGAGGAAACCUCCGGGGCAGAUCGAGGGGCUCGCGGCCUAUCAGCUAGUUGGCGAGGUCACGGCUCACCAAGGCGACGACGGGUAGCUGGUCUGAGAGGAUGGCCAGCCACAUUGGGACUGAGAAACGGCCCAGACUCCUACGGGAGGCAGCAGUGGGGAAUCUUGCGCAAUGGGCGAAAGCCUGACGCAGCGACGCCGCGUGGGGGAUGACGGGUUUCGGCUUGUAAACCCCUGUUGCCCGGGACGAACUUCUCCUUUCGAGGAGAUUGACGGUACCGGGUGAGGAAGCACCGGCUAACUCUGUGCCAGCAGCCGCGGUAAUACAGAGGGUGCGAGCGUUGUCCGGAAUCACUGGGCGUAAAGGGCGCGUAGGUGGCGACCCAAGUCGAUGGUGAAAGCUCGCCGCUUAACGGCGAGUCGGCCACCGAUACUGGGUUGCUCGAGCACUGUAGAGGCUCAUGGAAUUCCGGGUGUAGCGGUGGAAUGCGUAGAGAUCCGGAAGAACACCGGUGGCGAAGGCGGUGAGCUGGGCAGUUGCUGACACUGAGGCGCGACAGCGUGGGGAGCAAACAGGAUUAGAUACCCUGGUAGUCCACGCCGUAAACGAUGGGCACUAGAUGCUUGGGGGAGCGACCCCCUGAGUGUCGUCGCUAACGCAUUAAGUGCCCCGCCUGGGGAGUACGGCCGCAAGGCUGAAACUCAAAGGAAUUGA
rnacentral:rRNA from 1 species